rnacentral:rRNA from 1 species
CCUACGGGAGGCAGCAGUGAGGAAUAUUGGUCAAUGGACGAAAGUCUGAACCAGCCACGCCGCGUGCAGGAAGAAGGUUCUCUGAGUUGUAACCUUCUUUUGUACGGAAAUAAAAUGCGCUGCGAGUUCAUGUUUGAGAGUAUCCUAACAAUCUGCCUCGGGUCACUCCGUUCCAGCCGCCGCGGUCAUACUGCGGAAUCAAGCGUUAUCCGGAUUUCUUGGGUUUAAAGGGAGCGUAGGUGGGAAGGUAAGUUAGGUGUGAAAGUCCCAGGCUCAACCAGGGAAUUGCAUUUGAAACUGGCCGGCUAGAGAAUAGUAGAGGUAGGCGGAAUGCAUGGUGUAGCGGUGAAAUGCGUAGAUAUCAUGAAGAACACCGAUGGCGAAGGCAGCUUAC